GAGUAUGUAAAUUAUACUGCGGGUACUACUAAGAAUUUGUGGUUCUGUUUCUUACACUCGCUUUAUUUGUGUCAUGUGACGAACCUGCGCCAAUCAAGGAUUAGCGUUAUUCUCGCGCGUAAAUCGACUGUGUUAACUAAACUAGCCUGUUGUUCUUGUUGCUACCUAUUAAACAUGCCCCGUUGACCCCGACCUAACCAAGUGAGGCGGUAAUGUCGAAAUUUUAGGGAACCAGUUGGAAUUUUGCCAUGACCAAUUGGCUCCAGCCACCAUUUAAAGAACAAACACCGAGCAGGUGGCGGUCGAUGCGCUCCGCUGCCCAAGGCUUUUUCCGUGGUCUCCAGGCUGCAGAGAGGAUGAACUGAGGGAUGAACGAGUUUUCUGGACCUGUUUUGACCUUCGGCAGCUUUCCAAGAAAAGGCACGACGGGACGGGGGCUUUGGUGAUUCUCACCCACCCCAAAUCCACGCUCCCUUGGGAUCGGCGGUGGAGGCUAAACCAAGAAUCUCUGACAUCACCGUCACAGAUGCCACUGCAGAGCAACCUGGUAGCUGCAAAACAAAGCCAAACAAAGAGACAAGCACCCUUGGACUUGUGGUAGAUUAGCAAACCUGGACCACAGGGGCCCCAGCCGUUUUGACGUAGCUUGGUGCUUUAGUCCUAAUGGCGGUGCUGACGGGUCAGAAACAUGUGGAACAGCAGUGUGUCUCUCUGCCCUCCUUCACAGAGCGUACUUCUCUUCUGUCUCUUUUGCCACUCCACCCGCCAGACCUUUCAGCACCCCGUCUGUUGCCCCUCAGGCACCUCACUACCAUCCAGCAGCCUGCAUGGAGACCUAAGUGAGGACGUAUCCAUAUGGAUGUGCUUCUCAGCUGGGGCCUAGAGUCUCUCUCUCAUCUUCCCCUGGGUUUAUCUGACCUUGUCCUGAAUGUAGGCCCAGGAAGAAGGCUGCCUCACACACGGCUGCAGGAACUCCCAGAACUGGGUUUCAUGUGAAAAUGGGCUUUUCUCUCUUCUGGCUAACAUUGGCAGGCGCAUUUCGCUUUAAUCUCUUCAAACCGCUGUUGUUUCCUGCUUGAGUCAUGCACCAUGGUUGUUUAUGCAUUUCCACCCACCCGUGCUUCCUGUAAUCACUGCUAACACCGUAUCACCCCUCUCUGCAGAUCCCAGGGCUGCAUCCUUACCAGGCAGCAGAGAAGUAGGCUCUGGUAAAUGAGUAAAUGGAUGUGCGCAUGGAACCUUAAAUUACACAGCAAUUGCUUUUUUGUCACAUCUGGAAAGAAGUUCAUUUUUAAAACGGGCUGCUCUGUGAAACGCCGCUGGGAAGUUGAAAUGCUUCAUUUCUGGUAAUGCCAUAAACUGAGGAUUUUUCAUUUGAUAAUUUUGUUUCAUUUUUUUCAGUCUAGAAAUGUAGGCAAUUCAGUAGGGAUAUGACAUGGCAAAAUGUAUGGAACUUUAACCUCACGCGUUAAAUUGCCCAGUUUUCCAACAGGGAGAGUAUAAAUAGACUGUUUCCUGCCAGUGUAAGCGUCUUUUCUGGCUGGUGCACAGACAGGAUAAUUGCUGAUAAUAAAGUCCUCAUAACCAUGAACAGAACGGCUCUGGAUUAAUCUGUUACGCUGCAAACAUGCUGUCCUAUCAGAAGGAGAAAGGCUGCAUGAGUUCUGCGUUCUCCGCGGGCGGUGGCUUAUCUCCCGGCUCCCUCUCUCAUCCCUCUUUUUUUCUUUAAUCGCGCCUGGCGGAGCGUCGUGGGAGUGUUAGCGCCUCUGCGGCGCGGGUGAAGAAUGGCUGCGGUUAGAGCGGCUUGGCGCGCGCCAGCGAGGAGGGGCGACGCUGGCAGGAGCCGCGGGAGAACCGGGGGCCGCCAUAGCCGUCCGACAAAGUCGCGCGUACGGAUCCCGCGAGCGUGUGGAGCGUGACUACGCCAGACAGACCCCGCAGGGCUUAGCGUGGCAUCCCUCGCCACACAUCCCUCAUGUGGCCGUGCAGUCUCGUCACAGCGUCUUAAACUAGCCGCUCUGUCAUUGCUCAGAGCCCUGUGGAGACACAGCUCCAGUGUGUCAUAUUGAAUCAUGAGGAGAAAUAUGGUUUUGUGAUGACUGAAUACUUCAGCACAUCUGUGACAUUGAGCCAUGCAUUCAUUUGAAUAAUGCCA